CGAACGCUGGUCGCAGGCUUAACACAUGCAAGUCGAGCGGGCGUAGCAAUACGUCAGCGGUAGACUGGUGCGUAACGCGUGGGAACGUACCUUUUGGUUCGGAACAACACAGGGAAACUUGUGCUAAUACCGGAUAAGCCCUUACGGGGAAAGAUUUAUCGCCGAAAGAUCGGCCCGCGUCUGAUUAGCUAGUUGGUGAGGUAAUGGCUCACCAAGGCGACGAUCAGUAGCUGGUCUGAGAGGAUGAUCAGCCACAUUGGGACUGAGACACGGCCCAAACUCCUACGGGAGGCAGCAGUGGG
rnacentral:rRNA from 1 species